rnacentral:rRNA from 1 species
UACGAAGGGGGCUAGCGUUGCUCGGAAUCACUGGGCGUAAAGCGCACGUAGGCGGCUUUUAAGUCAGAGGUGAAAUCCUGGAGCUCAACUCCAGAACUGCCUUUGAUACUGGAGAGCUUGAGUCCGGGAGAGGUGAGUGGAACUGCGAGUGUAGAGGUGAAAUUCGUAGAUAUUCGCAAGAACACCAGUGGCGAAGGCGGCUCACUGGCCCGAUACUGACGCUGAGGCACGAAAGCGUGGGGAGCAAACAGGG